rnacentral:rRNA from 1 species
AACGCUAGCUACAGGCUUAACACAUGCAAGUCGAGGGGCAGCGGGGAGAGAAGCUUGCUUUUCUCCGCCGGCGACCGGCGCACGGGUGAGUAACACGUAUGCAACCUGCCCGUAGCAGGGGGAUAAGCGGAAGAAAUUCCGUCUAAUACCGCGUAAUAUCCUUGGGAGACAUCUCCCGAGGAUCAAAGGAAGUAAUUCCGGCUACGGAUGGGCAUGCGGCGCAUUAGCUAGUCGGCGGGGUAACGGCCCACCGAGGCGACGAUGCGUAGGGGUUCUGAGAGGAAGGUCCCCCACACUGGUACUGAGACACGGACCAGACUCCUACGGGAGGCAGCAGUGAGGAAUAUUGGUCAAUGGGCUAAGGCCUGAACCAGCCAAGUCGCGUGAGGGAAGACGGUCCUAUGGAUUGUAAACCUCUUUUGCCGGGGAGCAAAAUAGCUACGAGUAGCAUAGUGAGAGUACCCGGAGAAAAAGCAUCGGCUAACUCCGUGCCAGCAGCCGCGGUAAUACGGAGGAUGCGAGCGUUAUCCGGAUUUAUUGGGUUUAAAGGGUGCGUAGGCCGACUGUCAAGUCAGUGGUAAAAUUGAGAGGCUCAACCUCUUCGAGCCAUUGAAACUGGCGGUCUAGAGUGGGCGAGAAGUAUGCGGAAUGCGAGGUGUAGCGGUGAAAUGCAUAGAUAUCACGAAGAACUCCGAUUG